GUUGCUCUAUUAAUGGGGAAGCUCUAUCUUGUAAAAGAAGGGUUUUUCAUGUAGCAAUU
rnacentral:tRNA from 1 species